rnacentral:lncRNA from 1 species
CACAACUUCAUCAUACAAACUCUAUAUGAACUUAAUUGCACAUAUACCAAUUGACUGAAUAUUUUAAACUUCUACAUCCACUCUGACUAGAAUCACCAACCUGUUAUUUGAUACCACUUCAGUAAUACCCUGAUUACCCCCCCCCCCCCCUAGAAUUUGAAACCCAAAUUAAGCAUGAGAUUAAUACCCCUAAACAGUGACUAUUCAUAUCAAAUAAAGAGGAGGCAACUCACUACAUUCAAACCUAUUCAAAACCAUCACUGUAACAGUCCAACAGUCCAACAUCACUUGCAACACAUAGGUGCAAACUCAAAGGCUAAAAAUGAUAUAUACUAUAAACUAUAUAACUAACUACUCAUGAUAAUUAACGAGAAAAAUGUGCAGGAAUCGCAGGAAGACCAAUAGCCUCUUCUCGAAGGAACAAAACAGCCAUUUCAGCUUGAUUCCAUAAAACUUCAGAUCUACAUUUACUCAGGAUUCAAAUGUCUUUACAUACCUGAAAAUGUGAAAACAACAGCAAGGUAAUCAAAGGUCCAGCAGCAAUAACAAACAGCAGAGUCUAACUCAAAUCCAAUGAAACGGUGCACCAAAAACAGCUCAAACCCAGAAAAUACAAUUCAGCAGACCAGAUUCCAGUAUCAAACACAUUUUCAAACAAGAAAACACCAAAACCUAGCCUUAAUGACUAAAUCUCAAGCCAUUUCAAAGUCCAAACCUUCAGGAAAUUGAUUCAAGAGGAGAAGGAUUUCAGAUUAUCAAGCUAAAAUUCAAUGGAACAUCGUUUUUCCUAGAGUUUUCAGCCGUUGAGGAUUUUUUAGGAUUCUUA